UUUCGCAAUGCCCGAAAGGGUGACGAAGCGACGCCGCGUGAGUGAGGAAGGCCUUCGGGUUGUAAAGCUCUGUCAGGAGUUAAGAAAUAUAAGUGUGCUAAUACCACAUUUAUUUGACAAAAGCUCCAAAGGAAGCCACGGCUAACUCUGUGCCAGCAGCCGCGGUAAUACAGAGGUGGCAAGCGUUGUUCGGAAUUAUUGGGCGUAAAGAGCACGUAGGUGGGUUUGUAAGUCAGACGUGAAAGCCUUCUGUUCAACGGAAGAAUUGCAUCUGAAACUGCGAGUCUUGAGUGUAGGAGAGGAGAAUGGAACUUCUGGUGGAGCGGUGAAAUGCGUAGAUAUCAGAAGGAACGCCGGCGGCGAAAGCGAUUCUCUGGCCUAUUACUGACACUCAGUGUGCGAAAGCUAGGGGAGCAAACGGGAUUAGAUACCCCGGUAGUCCUAGCUGUAAACGAUGGGCACUAAGUAGAGGGGUUUUA
rnacentral:rRNA from 1 species